UGACAGCAUUUAAAAAACUAAGUUGUGGGU
rnacentral:piRNA from 1 species